rnacentral:tRNA from 1 species
GCUACUGUGGCUCAGGGGUAGAGCAGCUCACUCGUAAUGAGCAGGUCGUGGGUUCGAUUCCCACCAGUAGCU